rnacentral:rRNA from 1 species
UACGUAGGGGGCAAGCGUUUGUCCGGAUUUAUUGGGCGUAAAGAGCGUGUAGGCGGCCUGGAAGGUCCGUUGUGAAAACUCGAGGCUCAACCUCGAGACGUCGAUGGAAACCCUCAGGCUAGAGUCCGGAAGAGGAGAGUGGAAUUCCUGGUGUAGCGGUGAAAUGCGCAGAUAUCAGGAAGAACACCAAUGGCGAAAGCAGGUUACUGGGCAUUAUCUGACGCUGAGGCGCGAAAGCGUGGGUAGCAAACAGG